rnacentral:rRNA from 1 species
UACGAAGGGGGCUAGCGUUGCUCGGAAUUACUGGGCGUAAAGGGUGCGUAGGCGGGUCUUUAAGUCAGGGGUGAAAUCCUGGAGCUCAACUCCAGAACUGCCUUUGAUACUGAGGAUCUUGAGUUCGGGAGAGGUGAGUGGAACUGCGAGUGUAGAGGUGAAAUUCGUAGAUAUUCGCAAGAACACCAGUGGCGAAGGCGGCUCACUGGCCCGAUACUGACGCUGAGGCACGAAAGCUAGGGUAGCGAACGGG